UCUCCAUAUACUAAAUUUAAGUGCAGGGUUCUUACCCCUGCAAUGGUGUUGUUACACUGUGGGGUG
rnacentral:tRNA from 1 species